AUUGAACGCUGGCGGCAGGCCUAACACAUGCAAGUCGAGCGAGCGGCGGACGGGUGAGUAAUGUAUGGGGACUGCCCGAUAGAGGGGGAUAACUACUGGAAACGGUGGCUCAUACCGCAUACUGUCGGAUAACCCAUAUGGGAUUAGCUAGUAGGUAAGGUAAUGGCUUACCUAGGCGACGAUCCCUAGCUGGGCUGAGAGGAUGAUCAGCCACCCUGGGACUGGUGCACGGCCCAGACUCCUACGGAGGCAGCAGUGGGGAAUAUUGCACCAUGGGCGCCAGCCUGAUGCAGCCAUGCCGCGUGAGUGAUGACGGCCUUCGGGUUGUAAAGCUCUGUUAAUCGGGAGACGGUACCCGAAUGGAAAGCCACGGCUAACUACGUGCCAGCAGCCGCGGUAAUAC
rnacentral:rRNA from 1 species